UGACCUCAGGCUAGAUGUGGCAACCUGCUGAAUUUAAGCAUAUUAGUCAGUGGAGAAAAUGGAACUAACCAGGAAGACCUUAGUAAAGGUAAGUGAACAGGCAUCCCAGUGCCAAAUCCCUGCCCCUUGGUGGGGUGAGGGAAAUGUGGCGCAUGGAAGACUCACUCACCAGUGCCACUUGUUGGGGCCCAAGUCCUGAUUGAGGCAGCCAGCCUGUGGAAGGUGUGAGGCCAUUAGCAGCCCCUGGCUGCCAGGCCUGGGUCUUCCCAGAGCCGGGUUGCUGGGAAUGCAACCUCAAGCUGGUGGCAAACUCUAUCUAAGGUUAAAUACUGCAGGAGACCGCAAUAGUCAACAAGUACUGUAAGGGAAAGUUAAAAAGAACUUUGAAGACGCAGUUCAAGAGGGCGUGAAACCGUUAACACUUACAUGGGUGGGGGUCCCUGUAGUCUGAUGGAGGAUGCAAACCGGCAGUGGGUCAGGCUGUGCCAGUGAUCUGGCGGAUCUUUCCUGCCUUCUGUUCCUCCUGACCCCUCCAAUUGCCCUCCCUCCCCGGUAACCCCUCCUCCUCCUUGGAGGUGGCAGGCCCCAGCGCGUGCAGGGGUGGGUCCGGGGUGGGGGAGAGGGGACUGUCCCCCAGCCGGGGAAUGGCUGCCGCUGGGUGCAUUUCCACUGUGAUGCUGCGCCUUGACUGUCUCUGGGACGAUGGGAAGGCCCGGCCGUGAAGGUGGCUCAGGGGGGCCCUGUCCUCCCUGUCCCUCAGGAGGGGUGUGGGGUGGAUCCUCCCCCCGAGUGUUUCACCCCCCAGCAGUAGCACUCCUCAAAUCCCGGGGCUGAAGGAGUGAGACCCGUUGCCGUGCUCUCUGCCUCCUGGCGCCCACCCCAGUGGGGUCCCCCUAUGAGGAGGUCGCCCGUAGGGGCAUAACAGCAUCACUCUAGGGGACUGGGCCACCUCUCCCACGGUGUAACUGCUCUCCCAUCCCCUCCCUGCCCCCAGAGAGUAGGCUGCAUGGGAGGGUCUGGGGCUCACUGUGAUGUGCUCCAGGCGGGUUGUGCUGUCGGGCCUGGGGGGUCUCUUCGUCCAGGCACUCAUUUCAAAAGAACAGUGGAACCAGUGCACAAGGUAGGUGGUGCUGUCGGUUUCCCACAAGACCCAUCUUGAAACAUGAUCCAAGGGGUCUAACAUGUGUGCGAGUCAGGGGCUCGCAUGAAAGCCAUUGUGGGGCAAUGAAGGUGAAGGCUGAUCCGCUGGCUGGCUGAGGUGGGAUCCGAGGCCUCUCCAGUUUGCCAAGGGUGCAACACCUUCAGCUUUCGCCCAUUGCGCUGGGCUGGGCAGGUGGAGCAUGAAUGCAUGUGUUAGGCACCAAAAGAUGAUAAACUAUGCCUCGGCAGGGCGAAGCCAGAGGAAACUCUUGUGGGGGUCUGUAGUGGUCCUGACCUGCAAGUCGAUCGUCUGAUCUGGGUAUAAGGGCAAAAGACUAAUGGAACUAUCUAGUAGCUGGUUCCCUCUGAAGGUUUCCUAGGGAUAGCUGGUGCUCUCGCAAAAACCCCAUGCCACGCAGUUAUUUGGUAAAGCGAAUGAUUAGGGGUCUUGGAGUUGAAAUGAUCUCAACCAAUUCUCAAACUUUAAAUGGGUUAGAAGACCAGCUCAAUGGCGUGGAGCCAGGUAUGGAAUGUGAGUGCCUAGUGGGCAACUUUUGGUAAGCAGAACUGGUACUGUGGGAUGAAUGAAAUGCCAUGUUAAGGUGCCUGAUUCUGAUGCCCAUUAGACCCCAGAAAAUGUGUUGGUUGAUAUAGACAGCAGGAGGGUGGGCAUGGAAGUCAGAAUCCGCUAAGGAGUGUUUAACAACAACGAAUCAACUAGCCCUGAAAAAUGGAUAGUACUGAAACACUGGGCCCAUACCUGGCUGUUGCCAGCAGUUGAGAGUGGAUGGGAGUGGUGAGGGUGGUCACCCCCGCUGGAGCCCUGUGGAUGCUGGGAGGGCUGCUGCGAUGAGCCUUGAAGCCUUGGACGUGAGCCUGGGUGGAGCUGCUCCAGAUGCAGAUCUUGGUGGUAGUAGCAAAUAUUAAAAUGAGAACUUUGAAGGCCGAAGUGGAGAAGGGUUCCAGUUGAACGUGAAUCACUUGCUCCUGAGACAUGGGCAAGUACCAUUCCGAAGGGAUGGAUGAUGACUUCCGUUGCCCCCGGCUGAUGCAAAGGGAGUCAAGUUCAGAUUUCUGAAUCCGGAGUGACAGAGAUGGGCACUAUGAGGCAUUCAGGGAGGUAAUGGAACUGAUUCUGGAGAAACUGGUGGGAGCCCAGGGGAGAGCUCUUUUUGUGAAGAGCAGGGCGCCCUGUAAUGGAUUCACCCUUAGACAGGGGCCUGGGCCUUGGAAAGAAUCACAGUUCAAGUAGCAUCUGGUGAGCUCUCAUAGGCCCUUGAAAAUCUGGGGGAGAGGGUGUAAAUCUCACACCGGGCUGUAACCAUAUUCACAGCAGGUCUCCAAGGUAAACAGCCUCUGGCAUGUUAGAACAACAUAGGUAAGGGAAAUCAGCAAGCUGGAUCAGUAAGCUCAGCGUAAGAAUUUGCUCUAAGGGCUUUGCCAGUCCGGCUGCCGCUUGAAACGGGGCUGGGUGCAGGCAGUGGCUGGAUGAAGUGCUGGUACUCCACCCCCCAACGCUAGCAGCACCCCUCUGCAGACAUCCCCUACCUCACCUCGCCAUACCUUCCUCUUCACUAUCCCUCCCCACUUUGCUAUUGCCAGUUCCUAGCAGCCCACUUAGAACUGAUGCAGACCAGGGGAAUCUGACUAUUUAAAACAAAGCAUGGUGAAGGCCCGUCGUGGGUGUUGACACAAUGUCAAUUCUACCCAGUGCUCUGAAUGUCAAAGUGAAGAAAUUCAAUGAAGCACGAGUAAAUGGUGGGAGUAACUAUGUCUCUCUUAAGUGUAGCCAAAUGCCUCAUCAUCUAAUUAGUGAUGCAUAUGAAUGGAUGGACAAGAUUCCCACUGUUCUUACCUGCUAUCCAGCGAAACCACAGCCAAAGGAAUGGGCUUGACAGAAUCAGCAGGGAAAGAAGACCCUAUUGAGACUGACUCUAGUCUGGCACGGUGAAGAGACAUGAGAGGUGUAGAAUAAGUGAAAGGCCCCUGCACCCCUCUGUUUCUCUGAGGAGAUGGGGUGAGGUCCACUGACCUUGUGGGCUGCCAGUGAAAUCCUACUACCCUAAUCAUUUUUUCACUGACCUGGUGAAGUUGGGGCUGGGUAGGUGAGCCACAAGGGGCCCACACUUUUGGCACCAAGCACCUGGCCACAUGCUGGCUGGAUGUUAACUGCUCCAGGAAUAGUGCCAGGUGCAGAGUUGGACUGGUGCUGUACACCUGUCAAACGGUAAUGCAGGUGUCUGAAGGUGAGUGCAGGGAGUACCAAAACCUCCCAUGGAGCAGAAGGGCAGAAGUUGCUUGAUCUUGAUUUUCAGUAUGAAAGCAGGGCCUCAUGAUCCUUUUGAUGUUUUGUUUGAGUUUUAAGCAGGACGUGUCAGAGAAGACACCACAGGGAUAACUGCCUUGUAGUGGCCAAGAGUUCAUAGCAACAUUGCUUUUUGAUCCUUUGGUGUUGGAUCUUCCUAUUGUGAAGCAGAAUUCACCAAGCAUUGGAUGGUUCACCCAGUAACAAGGAACCUGAGCUUAGUUUAGAACAUCGUGAGACAGGUUAGUUUUACACAACAGUCUUUUAAACAAGGGUCUUUCCAUCUCAGCCUCACAAGUACCUGGGACUACUGGGACCUUCUUCUUCUGUAUUUUUUCUAACCACCAUUUCAGUUUGUUUCCACAAUACUUAGAGUAACUUGCUGUGAUUUUUCAUUGUUCUUUUCUCUCUCCAUUCUCAUAUGCUCCUUCCUACACACUGAAGUUGACCUUUGGUUUAUUUUUUGUCACAGUUCACACUGGUUAUGACACACACACACACACACAAAGUGAGAGAGAGAGAGACAGGAGUUGUCAAUUGUGAUAUUAAAUAUCUUUUAUUAUUAUUAACUUCUGCUUAAUUAUUUCAUCUUUAAGAUUGUUGUUUGAUAUUGUUAUAUACUUACUUUUGGU
rnacentral:rRNA from 1 species